CUGAAAUCAACUGAGACUACCCGCUGAACUUAAGCAUAUCAAUAA
rnacentral:rRNA from 1 species